rnacentral:rRNA from 1 species
UACGAAGGGGGCUAGCGUUGUUCGGAAUUACUGGGCGUAAAGGGCGCGUAGGCGGUGCUUCAAGUCAGGCGUGAAAGCCCCGGGCUCAACCUGGGAACCGCGCUUGAGACUGGAGGACUAGAGUUCGGGAGAGGAUGGUGGAAUUCCCAGUGUAGAGGUGAAAUUCGUAGAUAUUGGGAAGAACACCGAUGGCGAAGGCAGCCAUCUGGACCGACACUGACGCUGAGGCGCGAAAGCGUGGGGAGCAAACAGG